AACAAGCAAAGAAGAGGAAGUGGAGGCAGAAACUGAAGUUGAUGAGCUAAACGUGGAAGACAAAAAAACAGAGAGUAAGGACGAGAAUGAAAAUGAAAUAAAUGACAGGAAGGAUGAGGAUGAAGAUAAAGAAGAAGAGACGAAGGACGAGAAGGAAGAUGAAAAAGAAGAGAGCAUGGAUGAUAAGGAAGAUGAAAAAGAAGAGAGUAAUGAUGAUAAGGAAGACAAAAAUGAAGAUAUCAAGAAGUCUAACAAGCGAGGGAAAGGGAAGACUGAGAAGGCUCGCGGGAAGACAAAGAGUGAGGAAGAAAAGAAGGAUAUCGAACCCAGGACUCCUUUCU
rnacentral:lncRNA from 1 species